GAAUGCACAUGAAAACUCACGAGAAAGGAGAUAAACUACCUUCCUGCUCGAUAUGCCAUAAAGAGUUCAAAUGAAAUCCAUCCUGUAUCGUCAUCGACAAACACAUUUUGAGAAAAACUUCGCAUGUACCUUAUGUGACAAGCGGUUCAGCUUGAACUAUCAGUUGAACAUCCACGUGCAACGACAUAAAAGCAAAAACCACA